GGGCGGGUGGCGAAAUUGGUAGACGCACCACACUCAAAAUGUGGCGAUGAAAGUCGUGAGAGUUCGAGUCUCUCUCCGCCCA
rfam:Limnoraphis robusta CS-951 contig345, whole genome shotgun sequence.